rnacentral:rRNA from 1 species
CUUUAUUGGAGAGUUUGAUCCUGGCUCAGGACGAACGCUGGCGGCGUGCCUAAUACAUGCAAGUCGAGCGAAUCGAUGGGAGCUUGCUCCCUGAGAUUAGCGGCGGACGGGUGAGUAACACGUGGGUAACCUGCCUGUAAGAUUGGGAUAACUCCGGGAAACCGGAGCUAAUACCGGAUAACAUUUUGAACCGCAUGGUUCAAAAUUGAAAGAUGGUUUCGGCUAUCACUUACAGAUGGACCCGCGGCGCAUUAGCUAGUUGGUGAGGUAACGGCUC